UUCUCUUAUCAUCUUGUAACUGUAGGCUUGAUUAAGUAACUUUAGAAACAUGGAUUCAUAUAUUGAAAUUUUAAUUCUUUAAACUCUAUUAAGUUAUAUGAUUGUUCAUUUCAAUAUACUGAUUGAUUUCCAUUUCCCUUUCUUAGUCCCUUCAUUUAUGGUCUUCUCUCAUUUUAUGGGUUGUAGGUUAGGUAGAUUUUCUACGCUUCAAGGGAUUCAAUGCUCAUCGGGCCCAUGACCAGCCUUAUACAAACCAAACAUAACCAACUAUGAACAAUCAUUUAGUUGUUACCAUCCGUUUGUAACACCAACCCAAUUUGAAAUCGUGUUGGGUUCAUGUUGAGCAAGUUUAUGUCAUGUUAGGUCCGGUUUAGAACAAUCCCAGAUAUUUGGGUUGAGUAUCAAGGAAUGUUAAAUAGGAUACACAUUCUUGCCAUGUGUUCUAGCUGGGCUGAGCUGUGCACCCCAGUACAAAAUGAGGAAGUUUGGAUCGUCGGAUCAUGGCUGCAUAUUGGCAAGUGAUGUUGAUUGUGUAAUUCUUCCUAUUGAUGCUUGUGGAGGGGAUGAAACUCUUGCUUUCGCAAGAAAUUCUAAUAAGUAAAACACCAUUGUUUUAAGUAUUAUUUCCAUGCUUUCAAGUCCUAAUGAUGAAUCUCCUGCAAACAUUGAAGCCGCA